UGGGGAAUAUUGCACAAUGGAGGGAACUCUGAUGCAGCGACGCCGCGUGAACGAAGAAGGCUUUCGAGUCGUAAAGUUCUUUUAUAUGGGAAGAUAAUGACGGUACCAUAAGAAAAAGCCCCGGCUAACUACGUGCCAGCAGCCGCGGUAAUACGUAGGGGGCUAGCGUUGUCCGGAAUCACUGGGCGUAAAGGGUUCGCAGGCGGAAAUGCAAGUCAGGUGUAAAAGGCAGUAGCUUAACUACUGUAAGCAUUUGAAACUGCAUAUCUUGAGAAGAGUAGAGGUAAGUGGAAUUUUUAGUGUAGCAGUGAAAUGCGUAGAUAUUAAAAAGAAUACCGGUGGCGAAGGCGGCUUACUGGGCUCAUUCUGACGCUGAGGAACGAAAGCGUGGGUAGCAAACAGG
rnacentral:rRNA from 1 species